UACGGAGGGAGCUAGCGUUGUUCGGAAUUACUGGGCGUAAAGCGCACGUAGGCGGCUUUGUAAGUUAGAGGUGAAAGCCCGGAGCUCAACUCCGGAAUUGCCUUUAAGACUGCAUCGCUUGAAUCCGGGAGAGGUGAGUGGAAUUCCGAGUGUAGAGGUGAAAUUCGUAGAUAUUCGGAAGAACACCAGUGGCGAAGGCGGCUCACUGGACCGGUAUUGACGCUGAGGUGCGAAAGCGUGGGGGAGCAAACAGG
rnacentral:rRNA from 1 species